rnacentral:rRNA from 1 species
GAUGAACGCUGGCGGCGUGCCUAAUACAUGCAAGUCGAGCGAACGGACGAGAAGCUUGCUUCUCUGAUGUUAGCGGCGGACGGGUGAGUAACACGUGGAUAACCUACCUAUAAGACUGGGAUAACUUCGGGAAACCGGAGCUAAUACCGGAUAAUAUUUUGAACCGCAUGGUUCAAAAGUGAAAGACGGUCUUGCUGUCACUUAUAGAUGGAUCCGCGCUGCAUUAGCUAGUUGGUAAGGUAACGGCUUACCAAGGCAACGAUGCAUAGCCGACCUGAGAGGGUGAUCGGCCACACUGGAACUGAGACACGGUCCAGACUCCUACGGGAGGCAGCAGUAGGGAAUCUUCCGCAAUGGGCGAAAGCCUGACGGAGCAACGCCGCGUGAGUGAUGAAGGUCUUCGGAUCGUAAAACUCUGUUAUUAGGGAAGAACAUAUGUGUAAGUAACUGUGCACAUCUUGACGGUACCUAAUCAGAAAGCCACGGCUAACUACGUGCCAGCAGCCGCGGUAAUACGUAGGUGGCAAGCGUUAUCGGGAAUAUUGGGCGUAAAGCGCGCGUAGGCGGUUUUUUAGUCUGAUGUGAAAGCCCACGGCUCAACCGUGGAGGGUCAUUGGAAACUGGAAAACUUGAGUGCAGAAGAGGAAAGUGGAAUUCCAUGUGUAGCGGUGAAAUGCGCAGAGAUAUGGAGGAACACCAGUGGCGAAGGCGACUUUCUGGUCUGUAACUGACGCUGAUGUGCGAAAGCGUGGGGAUCAAACAGGAUUAGAUACCCUGGUAGUCCACGCCGUAAACGAUGAGUGCUAAGUGUUAGGGGGUUUCCGCCCCUUAGUGCUGCAGCUAACGCAUUAAGCACUCCGCCUGGGGAGUACGACCGCAAGGUUGAAACUCAAAGGAAUUGACGGGGACCCGCACAAGCGGUGGAGCAUGUGGUUUAAUUCGAAGCAACGCGAAGAACCUUACCAAAUCUUGACAUCCUUUGACAACUCUAGAGAUAGAGCCUUCCCCUUCGGGGGACAAAGUGACAGGUGGUGCAUGGUUGUCGUCAGCUCGUGUCGUGAGAUGUUGGGUUAAGUCCCGCAACGAGCGCAACCCUUAAGCUUAGUUGCCAUCAUUAAGUUGGGCACUCUAAGUUGACUGCCGGUGACAAACUGGAGGAAGGUGGGGAUGACGUCAAAUCAUCAUGCCCCUUAUGAUUUGGGCUACACACGUGCUACAAUGGACAAUACAAAGGGCAGCGAAACCGCGAGGUCAAGCAAAUCCCAUAAAGUUGUUCUCAGUUCGGAUUGUAGUCUGCAACUCGACUACAUGAAGCUGGAAUCGCUAGUAAUCGUAGAUCAGCAUGCUACGGUGAAUACGUUCCCGGGUCU